rnacentral:lncRNA from 1 species
UACCCCAGCAUAUGGGUCGAUGCAUAAAAGUUAAGUGCCGAUAACAUCCCUAUCGGCUGGGUCAAAAUGUGUCUGGGGUCAGACUUAGUGUUUUAAAAGGGUGCCGAUAACAAUCCUAUCGGCUAGGCCAAGUAUCAGGAAGGUCGGGAAAUAGAAAAAGGCGAACGUGUUGCCGAUGAAGAGCUCACAAGUCUAGCAGCGCCUGGAUGGCCGAUAUGGCGCGUAGGCGGAUUUGGUUAGCUGCUUCUAUCUCUUUGGUGUCUUCAUCGGCAGAGCCUUCCACUGGCUUCAAUUUCUUCUUCAGCUGCAAUGCUUUGCGGCCAUGGACGUUUCGCUCUUGCUCAAGAAGCUUGAUUGUCUCCGGUAGUUGGCUUUCUUCUUGUUGGGCUUGGGACAGAGCAUCCUCUACUUGCUUGAGUUCUGCCAGCAGAGUUUCUCUUCUUGCCGAUAAAUCAGAAAUCUUUUGCUUCAGUGCAUCUCCCGAGGACUUCAAGGUGCCGAUGUUCCUGUGCUUUUCAUCGGUAAGAAGCUUUUCCUUCAGCAUCUCCUCAGAAAGCUAAGUCUGAGCGGCUCUAUCGGCAAGACGCUGGGCAGCCCUCUGGUACUGCAGUUGACGGCUCUCCAGAUGUGCUGCUUGAAAGAGGAUUUCUUCGGCAUCGG